ensembl:lncRNA
AUGACUACUUUAAGCCCACGGCGAGUGCUGCUCUUCAAGAUCCAAAAGAAGCUUUCAGAUUUGAGUUUUAGUCAGCUGCAGACUGUUGCAAGUUCGAUAGAUGACGGUCGUAAAACUUACCAUGUAGCAGAUCUAAGUGAACCCGAACUUUAUGACCUAAUUGUCGACUACAUCAGAAGUGAUGAGUUAAAAGCUGCAGAAGAUGAGGGCAUGACUCAACUUCUCCUCCUUUCUGACCUACUUAAUGACGUGCUAUCAGCUGCAGGAACCAGAGCCGCUGAAUCGGGUAAUGUGGCACCUGUCUUGAUGGGAGAUUCACCAACACAGCAACAGGGUCACACUCCAACUGAUGACGAUGGAGAAGUUUGCACACAACCGUUACACAUGGACAGAGACAUUCGCACACAAUCAUUACGCGUGAACACAGAGACUGACAUGCACCCAUCAUUUCAGGGCAGAGACACCUAUGCACUUACCAGAGAAGUCACCUCAUCAACGCCUGGUAUGCCAGACCAAAUUGGUGCUGCUCCUUUGGUGUUUUCACAGAUACACAGUGCUUCACUGCCUGUGUGUCCUUUGUUGCCAGCCCAGAUAUCCCCUAGGUCUGAGGCCGGUAACAUAUACAACAAGGUAUUUUGAAGAAUGUUUCAACUGCUUUUGGCAAAAAAAUAUACAGUAAGUCAAAUGGGUACAAAACAAGAUUUUUUGUGGGCCAACUGUCCUUUUAAAGGGAUAUUCCACCCAAAAAUUAGAAUCAUUUACUCAUCCUCAUGUCAUUUCUGUCACAUUAAGGGUCUGAAGAGGGAUGAAGGUCGACAGAGAAGGUUAAAAAUAAAUACUUGGUUUAUUAAACAGAGUGAAUACAGGUGAUCCACAGAAGAAUAUCAAUGAAACAGUUGCACUUAAACACAUUCAACACCAGAAGGAACCGAAGAGCUUAUGUAACGAAUAGAGUAUAAAACAACUUCGAUCUAAUUAAUGAAUAACCAUGAUAACUAGAUAACAAAGGCAGGUCAAACAGGAACUGACUACAAUGAAAAUGACACCAACUUCUAACCUGUCUGCAUUUCUUUCUUCAGUGAAACACAAAAGAAGAUAUUUAGAAGAAUGUUGAUAACAAAACAGUUUUGGUUCCCAUAGACCUCUGAUUUUUUUUUGGAAAGGAUUUAUUGUUUGUUUUCCAUCAUUACAUAAACUCCAGAUAUGUGGCCCACUAUCCACACUGAUGUGCUCAGACCCCCCCCCCCCCACCCCAGUGAGUGUGACACUGCACACGUGAUCCGGUAAAAGGGUCCUGCGACAAAGGCAGUCACAUCCCAUUAAUCUCAGUUUGAUGUGCCUCAGUGCUUGUGAAAACAGAGGCUCUGAUACUGCUGAGUAUGAGGGCUCUGUGCUGAUUUUACCUUCAGGCACUUCUCACACGCUCUCUGAAAACUGCAGCACAGGAUGAGAAACCUUCAUUAAAAAUGUGUUGAACGGUCCCACUGUAUUUUUAAGACUAAACAAGCAAGCUAAAAAGGUAGCUGGUUAAGUUAUUAAAGACGCUUUAAAACAUGGUAACGAGGUUGAAUCAGUAAUGAAAAAAAAAUUUACUUGAAU